rnacentral:rRNA from 1 species
AAUCUUUGACCUCAAAUCAGGUAGGAAUACCCGCUGAACUUAAGCAUAUCAAUAAGCGGAGGAAAAGAAACCAACCGGGAUUGCCUUAGUAACGGCGAGUGAAGCGGCAAAAGCUCAAAUUUGAAAUCUGGGGUCUUCGACCUCCGAGUUGUAAUUUGAAGAAAGCAUCUUUGGAUUUAGCCUUUUUCUAAGUUCCUUGGAACAGGACUUCAUAGAGGGUGAGAAUCCCGUAUGGAGAAGUGUCUAUUUCUAUGUAAAGUGCUUUCGACGAGUCGAGUUGUUUGGGAAUGCAGCUCUAAGUGGGUGGUAAAUUCCAUCUAAAGCUAAAUAUUGGCGAGAGACCGAUAGCGAACAAGUACAGUGAUGGAAAGAUGAAAAGAACUUUGAAAAGAGAGUGAAAAAGUACGUGAAAUUGUUAAAAGGGAAGGGCUUCAGAUCAGACUUGAUGUUUAGCGAUCCAUCUUCCUUUUUGGUUGGUGCACGCGCUUUUCAUUGGGCCAACAUCGAUUUGAGUGGUAGGAUAAUGCCGUUGGAAUGUAGCUUCAUUCGUGAAGUGUUAUAGACUUCGGUGAUACUGCCCACUCGGAUCGAGGACUGCGUCUUUUGACUAGGAUGUUGGCGUAAUGAUCU